rnacentral:rRNA from 1 species
AAGUUAACUUCGGUUAGCGAGUAGAGUGGCGCACGGGUGAGUAACGCGUAAAUAAUCUACCCUGAUGUCUGGGAUAACCCUCCGAAAGGGGGACUAAUACCGGGUAUAUGCUUGACUGUCGGGUCAAUCAGGAAAGGUGGGGCUUCUUCGGAACCUAUCGCAUCGGGAUGAGUUUGCGUACCAUUAGCUAGUUGGUGAGGUAACGGCCCACCAAGGCGACGAUGGUUAGCGGGUCUGAGAGGAUGAUCCGUCACACUGGCACUGGAACACGGGCCAGACUCCUACGGGAGGCAGCAGUGAGGAAUAUUGCGCAAUGGGGGAAACCCUGACGCAGCGACGCCGCGUGAGUGAGGAAGGCCUUCGGGUCGUAAAGCUCUGUCAGAAGGGAAGAAGUGCAAUACAGUUAAUACCUGUAUUGUUUGACGGUACCUUCAAAGGAAGCACCGGCUAACACCGUGCCAGCAGCCGCGGUAAUACGGAGGGUGCGAGCGUUGUUCGGAAUCACUGGGCGUAAAGGGCGCGCAGGCGGUUUGUUUAGUCAGGAUGUGAAAAGCCCACGGCUUAACCGUGGAAGUGC